GCAGCUCCCCGCACCGCGCCGGGCCGCGGCCGCGGUGGGUGUGCGCGCACGGUGGGGGGGGAGGCUCGGCGCUCCUGAAAUAACAUCUUCCUCGCAGCAAGGUAGCAGCAGAAACGGCCCCUUUGUUUUGGUAAUUAGCCGAGCCCGGCCCGGGAAAGCAGAUGUGUUUGCUUAGCUAAUCAUAAGACAAGUUUCUUUCAAAGAACUUCAUUGAGCGAUCGCGACUGUGCAGGCAGGAGCAGGGUUUCUUGCUCCUGACCUCCAGCCUUCGCACACUGCUCCACGACCAGACCUUCCCUACGCAGGCACGCGAGGGUGACCAAGCUGAGGGCCUUUCCCCAGAAAAUCCACGCGUGACCAACAGCAGGGUUAGGCGCACGGGGCUGAUGGUGUGCCACUGCAGCACAGUCCUUCCUAAAACCACAGAGCAACCGCCAGCUUCGCUCCUCCGCCCCCAUCCCGGCAUUAGACAGGUAAAUACACCACAAUACAUCUGCUACAAACUUACUGUGACAAGCAAACAAAUCAAUCGCCUAUGGACUGAAAUGACUGCAAACUAUAUAGCGAAGUAAGGUGGUUUCUGAAAGACAUUUAUGACAGCCAAACAAGUUUCAGAUAUCAAAUAAUAUUUUAAUUUCUGAAUACUUUCAAUUUUCCUUGGAAUAUAACACACAAAGACUCGACCAAACAGUUCAGUUAUUAUAACUUUUACAGUAUACAGAAAUGUUGCACUUAAAAAAAAACCUUCAGUUUUUUUAAACACAAAACUGUAAACUCUAAGAUACUGAAUCAAUCACGUUAUCUAUAAGUGCCAACAGUGUUAUUUUGUCAUGCUGAUUUCAAUGGUAUUUUUUAAAAAGGGAAAAUAUCAACAAUUAUUAUAAUACAAAGGGCUUGCAAAUAUACAAACAGAUAGAGGAGUUUAAUAACAAUUCAUGAAGAACUAUGUGGAACCCAAUUCAAAUUACAAAAGUUCACUUUGCUCGUUUGUUUGCUUUUAAAUCAAAACCGUAGUGUGUCUUGGACACAAUUCCUUCUACCUAUAAUAAAUCCCCACAGUUCAUUUUCUGUCUGAAAUAU
rnacentral:lncRNA from 1 species